rnacentral:lncRNA from 1 species
GCUAGGGACUAAGAGAACAUGUAGUCAAACCCAAUAGCCUCACUGUGAAUAGCCAAUGGCACCGCAGGUCAAAAGACUACUCAUACCACUGCAGCAUUGAGAACAUCACUGAUAAUUGAGUAAACAUUCAUGUGGUUCUCGUGUUGGUUACACUCAGUGUAAGUUAUUCUCUAACGACCAUCUCCACCUUCACCCUAGUAUCUCUACACUACAGAUCCGAGACUCAUCUGCCCAUA